GGGGAAUUUUCCGCAAUGGGCGAAAGCCUGGCGGAGCAAUACCGCGUGAGGGAGGAAGGCUCUUGGGUUGUAAACCUCUUUUCUCAAGGAAGAAAAAAAUGACGGUACUUGAGGAAUAAGCAUCGGCUAACUCCGUGCCAGCAGCCGCGGUAAUACGGAGGAUGCAAGCGUUAUCCGGAAUGAUUGGGCGUAAAGCGUCCGCAGGUGGCUAUGUAAGUCUGCUGUUAAAGAGUCUGGCUCAACCAGAUAAAGGCAGUGGAAACUACAUGGCUAGAGUGCGUUCGGGGCAGAGGGAAUUCCUGGUGUAGCGGUGAAAUGCGUAGAGAUCAGGAAGAACACCGGUGGCGAAAGCGCUCUGCUAGGCCGCAACUGACACUGAGGGACGAAAGCUAGGGGAGCGAAUGGGAUUAGAUACCCCAGUAGUCCUAGCCGUAAACGAUGGAUACUAGGCGUGGCUUGUAUCGACCCGAGCCGUGCCGUAGCUAACGCGUUAAGUAUCCCGCCUGGGGAGUACGCAGGCAACUGUGAAACUCAAAGGAAUUGACGGGGGCCCGCACAAGCGGUGGAGUAUGUGGUUUAAUUCGAUGCAACGCGAAGAACCUUACCAGGACUUGACAUGUCGCGAAUUUCUGUGAAAGCAGAAAGUGCCUUCGGGAGCGCGAACACAGGUGGUGCAUGGCUGUCGUCAGCUCGUGUCGUGAGAUGUUGGGUUAAGUCCCGCAACGAGCGCAACCCUCGUUUUUAGUUGCCAGCAUUAAGUUGGGCACUCUAGAGAGACUGCCGGUGACAAACCGGAGGAAGGUGGGGAUGACGUCAAGUCAGCAUGCCCCUUACGUUCUGGGCUACACACGUACUACAAUGCUACGGACAAAGGGCAGCAAGCAUGCGAAUGCAAGCUAAUCUCAUAAACCGUGGCUCAGUUCAGAUCGCAGGCUGCAACUCGCCUGCGUGAAGGAGGAAUCGCUAGUAAUUGCAGGUCAGCAUACUGCAGUGAAUUCGUUCCCGGGCCUUGUACACACCGCCCGUCACACCAUGGAAGCUGGUAGUGCCCGAAGUCAUUACCCCAACCGCUUGCGGAGGGGGAUGCCUAAGGCAGGACUGGUGACUGGGGUGAAGUCGUAACAAGGUAGCCGUACCGGAAGGUGUGGCUGGAUCACCUCCU
rnacentral:rRNA from 1 species